GCGCAGAUAUCAGGAGGAACACCGGUGGCGAAGGCGGGUCUAUGGGCCAUUACUGACGCUGAGGAGCGAAAGCGUGGGGAGCGAACAGGAUUAGAUACCCUGGUAGUCCACGCCGUAAACGUUGGGCGCUAGGUGUGGGGACUGUUUCCACGGUCUCCGUGCCGGAGCUAACGCAUUAAGCGCCCCGCCUGGGGAGUACGGCCGCAAGGCUAAAACUCAAAGGAAUUGACGGGGGCCCGCACAAGCGGCGGAGCAUGCGGCUUAAUUCGAUGCAACGCGAAGAACCUUACCAGGGCUUGACAUGCACGGUGCGCCUCUAGAGAUAGAGGGUCCUUUGGGGUCGUGCACAGGUGGUGCAUGGUUGUCGUCAGCUCGUGUCGUGAGAUGUUGGGUUAAGUCCCGCAACGAGCGCAACCCUCGUCCUGUAUUGCCAGCAGCGGUUUCGGCCGGCUGGGGACUUGCGGGAGACUGCCGGGGUCAACUCGGAGGAAGGUGGGGACGACGUCAAAUCAUCAUGCCCCUUAUGUCCUGGGCUGCACGCAUGCUACAAUGGCCGGUACAGAGGGCUGCGAUACCGUGAGGUGGAGCGAAUCCCGUAAAGCCGGUCUCAGUUCGGAUCGGGGUCUGCAACUCGACCCCGUGAAGUCGGAGUCGCUAGUAAUCGCAGAUCAGCAACGCUGCGGUGAAUACGUUCCCGGGCCUU
rnacentral:rRNA from 1 species